UCGAGCCUGCCGAGAGGAGCUUGAUGAUUUCAACUAAAAAGGAAAAGUUUUCUUUUUAUUUACUUAAAGAAUCACUUUUUUUUAUACGUAGGCCUAGGUUGUGUCCGAGGAUGAAAUGAACGUUGUGGUUAUAUUAGGCUACUUUUGGAUAUGUGUCACAAAUAUUAAACUGUUUUCUUGUAGGAAACAAGUAAACUUGGCGCCGUGCAUUUCAUUAAAGCUAAAUUCGCCAUUUUUUUUACUGAAAAAAACCCUCAAAGUGCAAGGACUGGAUUUUCAAAACACUUUCAUGACUGACUGAAAAUAAGAGUUUUAGCUUUUUUUUGUUGCAUAACUGUUUUCAUAUGUUUACGGCCUGCAGUGCACGAUGGGUCUGCGUGUGAAUGAGGGCAGUGUGUUUUGCCGGUGGGCCUAACGUUACUGUGUUGUUUUGUAACAGUAGAAACUCCUGUCAAAAAUGAUUAAAGAAUACAUUAUAACCUGUGUGCUAAAGCUACUUCUACGACAAUAAGAAAAAAAAAUUCUCAUUUCACAAACUUUUUUAGGAUGGAUUUUGUUUUUUUUAAAAACUUCUAGGCCUGCUUACAUUUUUGAUAAAUUCUUAAACACCAGAAAUGGCUGAGGAGGCCUUGGCUGACAAACAGACAUAAUCUCUACAUUUGUUAAUAGUCUUAGUUAUAAAUAGGAAUAACUGUAUUAUUGAUAAUCUACAUAUAUUUUUGAAAUAGGGCACUUGUUCUUAACAUUAGUGUGGUCUAAUAUUAUUAUUAUUAUUAUUAUUAUUAUUAUUAUUAUUAUUAUUGUAUAUUUAAAAGAACUUAAAGUCUCUAAGUGUAAGUGCAGUGAUGCUGUUUCAUGCAUCAGUGACAACAACUGCCUGCCCCUAUUAUGACCCACAGUGGUUAUAUUUAAUCAGAUCCACCAGAGUAGAGUUGUUGAAAUCAUAAACAUCAUCUAGAUGUCUUUGGCCUUUUCAUACCUUCAUGUCAACUCUCUAUUUGCAGGCGUUGGUUGGAGUAGUUGAGCAAAAUUUGUAACAUUAAAA